rnacentral:rRNA from 1 species
GGUUGAUCCUGCCAGUAGUCAUAUGCUUGUCUCAAAGAUUAAUCCAUGCAUGUCUAAGUAUAAACACUUUAUACUGUGAAACUGCGAAUGGCUCAUUAAAUCAGUUAUAGUUUAUUUGAUGGUACACUACUACAUGGAUAACUGUGGUAAUUCUAGAGCUAAUACAUGCAUUAAAGCCCCAACUUUCGCGGAAGGGGUGUAUUUAUUAGAUACAAAGCCAGUACGGGUAACCGUCUCGGUGAAUCAUGAUAACUGCUCGAAUCUCAUGGCCUUGCGCCGGAGAUGCUUCAUU